CCAGGGGAUUCACAAGCACACUAAAGUUUGAGACGCAUGGGCUUGGAUGACUCCUUUAUAGUAAGGUCACAAUGAAUAAACAAAAUCUGAUUCAGAGACUAUGCCAAGCCAGGUGAUAAGAUCUUGAAGAACCAAGAUCCAGAGAGAAGUGAAAGGAAUCAGUGUUCCAUGGAACGGAAGUGCAUCAGGAAAGGAAAGAGAAAACAGAUUCAGACUAAAGCACGUGCCUGACAAUGUGUCUGCUGCAUUGCAUGAGGCAGCCUUGCUGCAGCCAACCAUAGUGGGUGCCCUUGUAGGUCCAAUUAAGAGGCUUAAUUGAAGAAUUCCAAGUUAGCAGACUGUCCUGGCACUCAGAGGAUAUUGUGCCUGGUAAUGAUAGUGUUGAAUUGGACAGAAAGAAUAUUCACAAAGGUGGCUGUCCAUAUCCAUGGGUUCUGUAUCCAUAGAUGCAGAAUUCUUGAAUACAGAGGGUUGACUGGGAGAUCUGACAUCUGCAGGUUUUGGUAUCCGUGGAAGGUUCUGCAACCAAUCUCUGGUGGAUGUGAGAGGUGAUUGUACUUAAGCUUCAAGAAAGGCCUCCUCUGCUAAAAAUGCUCUCUGAUUAGCCAUUCACUGCUUCCUGAACUAUGAAGACAUCUUCUAGGAAUACUCAGGAUCUUCUGCUAUGUGGCUUUAAUUUAUUUUAAGAUUAAUUCCUCAUUACCUUCUUACACAAAGCCACCAUUAGCAUAUCAAGCACAGCUGUACAAAUUUUUAAAAGGCCAAAAGAUGUAUCUGCCAAUUCUAGGAGGAUAUAAACCUGAAGGCACAAAUCUGGGCUGGAGCACAUGGUUUCCCUUGUGAGAAGAAAAAGUCUCCUUCCUCUGAAUGGACACACCUUGCACACCAGGGCACAAGGUUUGUCUAGAAGAGCACAGCUGAACAUCAUAAAGUGCAGAACCACACACCUGGCAUCCUUGUCCCUACACAAGAACCUGGUGGACAAAGUAAUACAUCCAGCAAUAGAAGUAAACCCUGCAAAUGAAAUGGUCUUUCAAAGAUGCCAAAGCAUUAUUGGUGCCCUUAUGGAGUUGACAGGAAGCCAAAGCUGAAGAGCAUAUUUUAAUCACUUGAUUUAAUUCGAUUACCACUGUAGCUAUUAUAAGAAAACGAUUUCCAAUUCUGUGAAGAAAGGCAUUGGUAGCUUGAUGGGGAUGGCAUUGAAUCUGUAAAUUACCUUGGGCAGUAUGGCCAUUUUCACGAUAUUGAUUCUUCCUACCCAUGAGCAUGGAAUGUUCUUCCAUUUGUUUGUAUCCUCUUUUAUUUCAUUGAGCAGUAUGGAACCAAAAAAGAGCUCGCAUUGCCAAGUCAAUCCUAAGCCAAAAGAACAAAGCUG
rnacentral:lncRNA from 1 species